rnacentral:rRNA from 1 species
UACGGAGGGUGCAAGCGUUGUCCGGAUUUAUUGGGUUUAAAGGGUGCGUAGGCGGUCUUUUAAGUCAGUGGUGAAAUCCUCCAGCUUAACUGGAGAACUGCCAUUGAUACUGGGAGACUUGAGUACAGACGAGGUAGGCGGAAUUGACAGUGUAGCGGUGAAAUGCAUAGAUAUGACAUAGAACACCGAUAGCGAAGGCAGCUUGCUACACAAUUAUUGACACUGAGGCUCGAAAGCGUGGGGAUCAAACAGG